CCGGUGGCGGAUGGGCAUGCGUCGCAUUAGUUAGUUGGCGGUGUAACGGACCACCAAGACGACGAUGCGUAGGGGUUCUGAGAGGAAGGUCCCCCACACUGGUACUGAGACACGGACCAGACUCCUACGGGAGGCAGCAGUGAGGAAUAUUGGUCAAUGGGCGGGAGCCUGAACCAGCCAAGUCGCGUGAGGGAUGACGGUCCUAUGGGUUGUAAACCUCUUUUGCCGGGGAGCAAAGUGCCGCACGUGUGCGGUUUGGAGAGUACCCGGAGAAAAAGCAUCGGCUAACUCCGUGCCAGCAGCCGCGGUAAUACGGAGGAUGCGAGCGUUAUCCGGAUUUAUUGGGUUUAAAGGGUGCGUAGGCGGACGCUUAAGUCAGCGGUAAAAUUGCGGGGCUCAACCUCGUCGAGCCGUUGAAACUGGGUGCCUUGAGUGGGCGAGAAGUACGCGGAAUGCGUGGUGUAGCGGUGAAAUGCAUAGAUAUCACGCAGAACUCCGAUUGCGAAGGCAGCGUACCGGCGCCCUACUGACGCUGAAGCACGAAGGCGUGGGUAUCGAACAGGAUUAGAUACCCUGGUAGUCCACGCAGUAAACGAUGAAUGCUAGUUGUCCGGGGCG
rnacentral:rRNA from 1 species